rnacentral:rRNA from 1 species
AAGUCCCGCAACGAGCGCAACCCUUGUCCUUAGUUGCCAGCAUUAAGUUGGGCACUCUAAGGAGACUGCCGGUGAUAAACCGGAGGAAGGUGGGGACGACGUCAAGUCAUCAUGCCCCUUAUGUCCAGGGCUGCACGCAUGCUACAAUGGCAAGUACAACGAGUCGCAAUACCGCGAGGUGGAGCAAAUCUCUUAAAGCUUGUCUCAGUUCGGAUAGGAGUCUGCAACUCGACUCCUUGAAGUUGGAGUCGCUAGUAAUCGCAAAUCAGCAAAGUUGCGGUGAAUACGUUCCCGGGCCUU